AGACGCAUACAACUUGGCAGUUUUUCAAACAAUUUCUAGUUUUUUGGAGCCCUAAAAAGGGGGUAAAAGAAAGGACACAAUGGAGUGGCUUUUGACAUUUAUUGUUGGUUGUAUUGUGGGUUACUUGAUUGCCAAAAAUUAUCGGUAGCUAUCCAGGCCAGAGGCAGCACAAAAUUGUAUUGUUGAAAUUUUUUAAGUUUUGGAAUAGGAUUUGGCAAAAUCAAACAAAUAGAAUGCAGCGUUUUCUGACUUUCAUUGUGGGUGGAAUCGUCGGCUACCUCGUAGCGAAGAAUACUCGCUAAGCUAAGCAAGUAUGACCCAUUUGAUCUGCUUUGGUCUGGGCGUGUGGGUCGGCAUGCUAAUGUGCCGACGCUGCGGCCCCUGAAGAACCAGCCAAAUCCACUGAAGCCUUUGCGGAAUGUCAAGCAAAAUUCAAGUUUUUUUUCUCGAACAUUUAUGAAAUAAUGAAUUAAAUAAUGAUGCACCAUUAAAGUAAA